rnacentral:rRNA from 1 species
GCUGCCUUUGUUACCUCUUUUACUAAAGGGAGCCAGUCUAGGUACCUGCUCCUGGCGCAGGAGACGUCUAGGCCACAACGCGUCCGAGCUCCACUAGACCGGCGGCCUCACCUUCUACUGCGCCCUAGGUCCACCAAACCGGCGGCCUUACCUUCUCCUGCUCACGAGGCCGGCAGCGAAGCCAGCGUGCGCGUAACAACCUCGACUCCAUCCCACACCGCCUCGGUACUCGUCUGCUCUCCAUCGACCGCUGCCCUUAUUACCUUCUCUCUCUCCUCUCGCCCAUGUGUCCUACCUCGUCGGAAGUGCACACGCUGCGGCGUCGCUUCUGA